rnacentral:rRNA from 1 species
CCUACGGGCGGCAGCAGUGGGGAAUAUUGGGCAAUGGGCGCAAGCCUGACCCAGCAACGCCGCGUGAAGGAAGAAGGCUUUCGGGUUGUAAACUUCUUUUCUGAGGGACGAAGAAAGUAACGGUCCCUCAGGAAUAACCCACGGCUAACUACGUGCCAGCAGCCGCGGUAAUACGUGGGUGGCAAGCGUUCUCCGGAUUUAUUGGGUGUAAAGGGCGUGUAGGCGGGAAAGCAAGUCAGAUGUGAAAACUCAGGGCUCAACCCUGGGCCUGCAUUUGAAACUGUUUUUCUUGAGUGCUGGAGAGGCAAUCGGAAUUCCGUGUGUAGCGGUGAAAUGCGUAGAUAUACGGAGGAACACCAGUGGCGAAGGCGGAUUGCUGGACAGUAACUGACGCUGAGGCGCGAAAGCGUGGGGAGCAAACAGGAUUAGAUACCCGAGUAGUC